UGGGGGGGGGGGCAUUGGGCAUGAGGUGGGCAGGGGGCGUGUGGCGGCCUCCGUCACUCCGACCUCUGUAGCGCAGUGAUGCUGCAGGACGAAGGGGG